GGAGGACAUUGGCAAGAUAAAAAGCGCUAUCCCACCUAGCAGGACUUGCUUCUUAUCAGCCUUCUCCCUUAUCUGGCUCAAAACCCAGCUUGUUGCUAAACAAAGUUAUUUGGAUGGAUGAAAUCUCUGGCCAAACAGAUGGAAAAGGAAAGACACGUCUACUGACAGAGAUGACAUUCACUUAGGAGCUCUAAAGAAACUUGGAGGUGAAACAGCUAAAACAUUACUACAUGAAGCAGGUUUGGGCAUAGAUAUGUGGAGUGCAGAUCUGAUCCUGCCAUUCAUGAUGAAGGAUCCAAAAUACUGCAGGGAUGAAAGAAUAUUGGUGUGUGGAAGACAAAAAAAGUGCACACAGUUUGAGAAGAGACAAGAAUUGUGGUGGAAUUGUGUCACUUUGCAAGAGCUUACAAGACCUCAAAACACAUGGAUUGAGCCUUGUCACAUAUGCCACAAUGAGGCCAAGAACAAGCAUUGAAACAGAAGACAGAUGUAGCAAAGGAAGAUGGAUACACUUUGGGGCAUAGGCUUGAAAACAAUAUUCUAAGGGAAUGUGGUAAAAACAACCCUAUGUGAAGAAAAGCCAUUUGAAUAUGUGAAAACUGUGUGAAAAUAUGUAAAGGGCUCAGCUUGAAAAGAUGUUAGUUUAAGUAAAAUAAUGGUAAACCCUUUUCAACAGGAGGGGGUAACAGCUGGAAGAAUAAGAACAUUUGAAGAAAUAUUUGAGGAAAGAGAAAGGAAGUUUAAACAUGCUCAAAAAGUUAAAUUCCCUCAAUUCUGUCAUGAUAUGUAUCCUGCAGCAGAGUGUGAUAACCCUCUUGUUCUGCAGAGUCUAGGGAAAAUAAUCCAUAGUGUGAGUGCAGUUGCUGUUCUCUGUAAGGGUGGAAAAAACCCUCACAUGGAAAAAUGUUUUUAAAAUUCAU